GGAAGCAAGGGGCUGGCAGUGAGCAGAUCAAACUCUAGCCUGAGUUUAUACAGCAGUGCUUCAGCUCCUAGUAGCCCAUUAACUCGUCAGACGCUUUUACGCAGAAGUUUUUCUGGGGAUCGGUGCAUUCGGCCCAGGAGCUCUAUAGCAGCAUUAGGAACCGACCAGUUCUCCACAGUAGGAGAUGAUUUUCCUUCACCCACAGAGGAAGCUGAGAAAGCUCCCACAUGAAUCUACCUGUUGAGUCCACCAUGUAAGAACAACAGAAAGAGGACUGGUCAUAAUGGAAGACAGUUCAGUGGACCCACAGUCUGAGUCCUCUAACUCAUCCCGACUGGGUGUAUAAUAUUGUGUUUCUCCAUGAACAGCUCUCAAAGGUGUAGUGGUAAUUCUGUCCACAUGAUUCAGGAAUUACACAACGUGAUUUCUUAUUACAGCAAGUUGUUGCCAGCUCUUCUCAUUUUAUUUAUUUAUUUUUCAUUUGUUUUUAAAAGAGAUACAGUUUUCACAAGUGUUGGAAUGUGGUGCAUGGUGCUUAGCUGCAUGAUAACUCGGCUCUCCUAAAUAAUGCUUUGUAAUCAGUAAUGUGAAUACUGAGGUCGUUCUGUGUAAGGGUUUAAGCAACAAAAACACUGAUGCCUUUCCUAACACUGAACACACUGAUGAUAGUGAUGCAAACCAAAUGAAUUGGACCUCAU